CCUACGGGAGGCAGCAGUGGGGAAUAUUGGUCAAUGGACGAAAGUCUGAACCAGCCAAGCCGCGUGAAGGAUGACUGCCCUAUGGGCUGUAACCUUCUUUUAUAAAGGAAUACAACGAGGCACGUGUGCCUUUUUGCAUUUACUUUAUGAAUAAAGAUCGGCCAACUCCGUGCCAGCAGCCGCGGUAAUACGGAGGAUCCGAGCGUUAUCCGGAUUUAUUGGGUUUAACGGGAGCGUAGAUGGGUUGUUAAGUCAGUUGGGAAAGUUUGCGGCUCAACCGUAAAAUUGCAAUUGAUACUGGCAGUCUUGAGUACAGUUGAGGUAGGCGGAAUUCGUGGUGUAGCGGUGAAAUGCUUAGAUAUCACGAAGAACCCCGAUUGCGAAGGCAGCUUACUAAACUGUGACUGACAUUGAUGCUCGAAAGUGUGGGUAUCAAACAGGAUUAGAUACCCUUGUAGUC
rnacentral:rRNA from 1 species